CGCGUAGGCGGUUUUUUAAGUCUGAUGCGAAAGCCCACGGCUCAACCGUGGAGGGUCAUUGGAAACUGGAAAACUUGAGUGCAGAAGAGGAAAGUGGAAUUCCAUGUGUAGCGGUGAAAUGCGCAGAGAUAUGGAGGAACACCAGUGGCGAAGGCGACUUUCUGGUCUGUAACUGACGCUGAUGUGCGAAAGCGUGGGGAUCAAACA
rnacentral:rRNA from 1 species